rnacentral:rRNA from 1 species
CCUACGGGUGGCUGCAGUGGGGAAUAUUGGACAAUGGGCGAAAGCCUGAUCCAGCAAUGCCGCGUGUGUGAAGAAGGCCUUCGGGUUGUAAAGCACUUUCAGUGGGGAAGAAAGCCUUGGGGCUAAUACCCUCGAGGAAGGACAUCACCCACAGAAGAAGCACCGGCUAACUCCGUGCCAGCAGCCGCGGUAAUACGGAGGGUGCGAGCGUUAAUCGGAAUUACUGGGCGUAAAGCGCGCGUAGGCGGUCUGAUAAGCCGGUUGUGAAAGCCCCGGGCUCAACCUGGGAACGGCAUCCGGAACUGUCAGGCUAGAGUGCAGGAGAGGAAGGUAGAAUUCCCGGUGUAGCGGUGAAAUGCGUAGAGAUCGGGAGGAAUACCAGUGGCGAAGGCGGCCUUCUGGACUGACACUGACGCUGAGGUGCGAAAGCGUGGGUAGCAAACAGGAUUAGAUACCCCAGUAGUC